GAUGAAGAACGUAGCGAAAUGCGAUAAGUAGUGUGAAUUGCAGAAUUCAGUGAAUCAUCGAAUCUUUGAACGCACAUUGCGCCCUUUGGUAUUCCAAAGGGCAUGCCUGUUCGAGCGUCAUUUGUACCCUCAAGCUUUGCUUGGUGUUGGGCGUCUUGUCUCUAGCUUUGCUGGAGACUCGCCUUAAAGUAAUUGGCAGCCGGCCUACUGGUUUCGGAGCGCAGCACAAGUCGCACUCUCUAUCAGCAAAGGUCUAGCAUCCAUUAAGCCUUUUUUUCAACUUUUGACCUCGGAUCAGGUAGGGUUACCCGCUGAACUUAAGCAUAUCAAUAAGCGGAGGA
rnacentral:misc_RNA from 1 species